GACGAACGCUGGCGGCGUGCUUAACACAUGCAAGUCGAACGGAAAGGCCCUGCUUUUGUGGGGUGCUCGAGUGGCGAACGGGUGAGUAACACGUGAGUAACCUGCCCUUGACUUUGGGAUAACUUCUGGAAACUGGGGCUAAUACCGGAUAGGAGCUCCUGCUGCAUGGUGGGGGUUGGAAAGUUUCGGCGGUUGGGGAUGGACUCGCGGGUUAUCAGCUUGUUGGGGGGGUAGUGGCUUACCAAGGCUUUGACGGAUAGCCGGCCUGAGAGGGUGACCGGCGACAAUGGGACUGCGAUACGGCCCAGAAUCGUACGGGCGGCAGCAGGCGGGAAUAUUGCAGAAUGGGCGGAAGCCUGAUGCGGCGACGCCGCGUGCGGAAUGCCGGCCUACGGGUGGUAAACCGCUUUCGACUGUGACGAAGCGGGAGUGACGGUAAUGGGUAAAGAAGCACCGGCUAACUACGUG
rnacentral:rRNA from 1 species